CUAUUUAUUUACAUCUAGAGCCACCAUGAACAACUGGGUUUUGUUUAGAUCAAGUUUAGCCUUCGCUACUUGCUUGUAGGCACGCGUGCAGGAUCAGCCGCCCGUCUCCUUGUCUUCGGAACCCCAUUGUUGAUUCAGAUUCAGUUUGAAACCUUCAAUUCAUCUUGCAAAUUCAGUGCUUGUUUCCUCGUUCUUGCUAGUUCUUCGAUUGCUUGCAGGACGGGAGCCCUAGGGGCUGGUUGUCG
rnacentral:lncRNA from 1 species